rnacentral:lncRNA from 1 species
GGCUCUGUCACCCUGGGCUGCCAGGACACAAGUCUUUCCAUGCUUUUCCCAGUGCUUGACUUGGCACUCCCUGCAGGCAGGCCCUGACCCGGAACUGUGGCCCAUGGGCAGAGAUAGUCCCUCACCUUGUGGAAGAACACUGUCUCCAAGAGGUUGAUGAUGGAGGCCUCGUGGUGCACCUGUCAGAUAAAGAGAAGGACAGGGCCUGAGGAAGGGAUAGGGGCUACCAGCUCUCCUCCCCGGUCCAGAGCCCUCUGAAGGAGUGAGAAGAGCUCCUGAAUGGGCUCGCCCUGGCUGACUGUGGCAUCGAGGAUGGCUUGCAUGUUCAGCUUCUCCAGGUUCUCAUGCUGCUGGUUCCACCUGCCUCAGAGGGUAAGUGCAUGUGCGUCCACGUGUGUGCAUUAGGAGUGGGGAUGGGGGCUGGAUCCUACUGAAGCCUAACCUGAUCCUGAGGGGACACAGGGGGCUCAGGAGCAGUAAUACUCCUGUCUCGGAACGCUCUGCUCCCCCAUUUGGGAGCCCCUCCACACUGGGCAGCCCCUCCCCCGAGUCAGGCCCCAGCUCCCCGACUCAAGGACAAUGACUCCGGGACUCCGCCUGACCCGGGUGCCUCACCCUUCGGAGCCCAUCUCGCGUAGCGGGAAGCUGCGCAGACCCCGCACCAGCACUUCAGCUUCCCCGG